AAUUUUAUUUUCUUUUUGCUUUCUUUUUCUACUUUCUUUUUGUUUCUUCGACACCAUUAGAAAAAUAGGCCAGUUCGCGUUUAAACUUAAAACACAUGUAGGUUGUUGUUUUUACGAGGGAGCAGGAAACAAAGAGGAGAAGAAGGAAAAAAAAAAGAAUUAGGAGAUAAAUAGGAGGGAGGAAGAGUCGAUUGAUUGGUGAGUUCGGUAUCAAGUAGGAUUAACUGGUUUCAACAACUAAUUAAGUUCCAGGUGAAUCCAGCGUAGCUGAAGAUGAGGUGUUAAAAGUCGAGUAUUACGUUUCGCUUGAGUGACACUGGGGUUGAACCAUUGGAGGAACGGAAACUUUCGUCUCAUCUAAUGUUCCUUGUGUACCUUUUUCUGAGGUGUCACUACAGGGACAGAUUCAGCAGACGCGCUAGCCCUUCAGAUAGCAGUAAUUUGGACCACAAGUUCAGGGAAGAAAAGGGCGGGUUUUCUGUGUGAUUCUAAAGAUGUGGUGGCUCAUAUAAACGAUAAACAGUUGCUCAUGGGCAGUAUCUAUUAUUCCGAAGGAUACAAAGAAAUCUUUUGGGUUUUUUGAAUCUGUCAAAGUGAUAUAUGUAAAUAGGAAUCACAUUUCUUGUGCUGACAGUUUGGCUAAACAUGUCAAAAAAUAUAAAUCUAAAUGUAUAGGUAAAAGAUUUAAUCUUUGCUAAACAAAGAUGGGAUUAUAUGCCGUAGAGCUGAUGACGCAGACUGGUGCUAUAUUGUACUGCUGCAAGCUUGGUGGUCGUGAGUUGCAAGAGAAACUGGUUCUGGAUGGUGGGUGUUCAGGCUCUAGGAGGUGGUGGUCUUGACUUGUAGGAGAGCAACUCGUGGUGAUGAUGGAAAGGUGAUUUACGUGAUGGUCUGAUAGAUGUGGACGGUGGCAAGAGUGAUUGGAGAGCAACUCCUGGUAGUGAUUGAUAAGCAGGCAGUACAAAUAGAUUGGAUAAACAGAAAUACAUCAAGCUGCACACACGCUACUCAAUACAGCUAAGUGGACAAGCCUAAUUGACUUUCACUUGGUCAUGUUAUUCGCAUUAUCAUAGUAUAUGCUAAGUUUUAUACACCCUAAACAUUCAGUUAUGCUCCCUUUUGUUUUGACCAUAUGGUUUGUAUCUCUCCUUUACCUGUUCGUAAAAGUAGUGGAAUUAUUGUAUAGCCGGAAAUUUGAGAUGUUAGGUUAAUGAUAAGAUGACUUUUUGGUAAUAUUGUAA